rnacentral:rRNA from 1 species
CCCUUAGAUGUUCUGGGCCGCACGCGCGCUACACUGAUGCAUUCAACGAGUUUCUUCCUGGUCCGAGAGGAAUGGGUAACCUUUUGAAGGUGCAUCGUGAUAGGGAUAGACUAUUGCAAUUAUUGGUCUUCAACGAGGAAUUCCUAGUAGACGUAGUUCAUCAGACUGCAUCGAUUGCGUCCCUGCCCUUUGUACACACCGCCCGUCGCUCCUACCGAUUGAAUGCUCAGGUGAGCCAUUCGGACUUUCAUCAUGCUGGUUUCCAGUUUUGAUGAAGGAAAGUCUUGCGAACCUUAUCAUUUAGAGGAAGGAGAAGUCGUAACA